AAGAAGAAGAAGAAGAGGAAGAAGAAGAAGACUCACCUCUCUCUACCAGACAGGAACAAACCAACAGCAGAGAUUAGUGAGGGCGAGGAUGUGGCUGAUGGCGGCUCUGCUGCUCUUAUCUGCAUCUGCUGGGAGGUGUGGAAAUCCAGAUGCAAAGAACCGGAACAAGGUCCCCGAACCAAAAAAAGGCCCCAUCAAUACUUCGGCUCCUCAAAGACCAGACGAGGCCCAAAUUGCUCAAAUCGUCAAUGACCUCUUGAACAGACUCAACAAAGAUCAG